GCUGUGAUGACCAAGUGGUUAAGGUGUUGGACUUGAAAUCCAAUAAGGUUCCUUUCCGCAGGUUCAAAUCCUGCUCACAACG